UACGGAGGGUGCAAGCGUUAAUCGGAAUUACUGGGCGUAAAGCGUGCGUAGGCGGCUGCCUCAGUCAGAUGUGAAAGCCCCGGGCUUAACCUGGGAACUGCAUUUGAUACUGGGCAGCUAGAGUUGAGUAGAGGAGAGUGGAAUUUCAGGUGUAGCGGUGAAAUGCGUAGAGAUCUGAAGGAACACCAGUGGCGAAGGCGGCUCUCUGGACUCAAACUGACGCUGAGGUACGAAAGCGUGGGUAG
rnacentral:rRNA from 1 species